AAGUCGUAACAAGGUUUCCGUAGGUGAACCUGCGGAAGGAUCAUUAACACGUAUCCAAACGUUAAACAACCCCGUGAACAUACAACCUGCUCUGGUCGCCCGCUCGCAUGGACAAGCCCAGUAAAUCAAGCCCCGGAAAGUUUUUGAUUUGGGACCUCUGUGCGCGUGAGAAAAACUGACAGCGAUUGACCAAGUGACCAGUGAAUGAAAGUGUCGCUGGAGCGUCAAGGACGACUCUUCAAGAUUGCUAGAGGUCGACCACCGACCGGCUUCCGUGUAUACUGAGCUUAACAUCGCUCCCUUCCGAACCCCACUUCGGAUGGGCAGGCCCCCCGAACAACUGUUAACAAUGGAUAUCUUGGUUCUC
rnacentral:misc_RNA from 1 species